CCCGGCGGCAUGCUUGCACCUGCAGAGUUAAACGGAGCACGGGAGCAAUCCUGGUGGCUAGUGGCGAACGGGUGAGUAAUAUAUCGGAACGUGCCCAGCUCGUGGGGGAUAACGCAGCGAAAGCUGUGCUAAUACCGCAUACGAUCUACGGAUGAAAGCGGCGGGAUCGCAAGCACCUCGCGCGAUUGGAGCGGCCGAUAUCAGAUUAGCUAGCUUGGUGACGUAAAGGCUCACCAAGGCGACGACUCUGUAGCUGGCUCUGAGAGGACGACCAGCCACACUGGAACUGACGACACGGUCCACGACUCCUACGGGAGCGCAGCAGUGGGGAAUUUUCGGACAAUGGGCGCAAGCCUGAUCCAGCAAUGCCGCGUGCAGGAUGAAGGCCUUCGGGUUGUAAACUGCUUUUGUACGGAACGAAACGGUGAGCUCUAAUACAGUUUGCUAAUGACGGUACCGUAAGAAUAAGCACCGGCUAACUACGUGCCAGCAGCCGCGGUAAUACGUAGGGUGCGAGCGUUAAUCGGAAUUACUGGGCGUAAAGCGUGCGCAGGCGGUUAUGUAAGACAGAUGUGAAAUCCCCGGGCUCAACCUGGGACCUGCAUUUGUGACUGCAUAGCUAGAGUACGGUAGAGGGGGAUGGAAUUCCGCGUGUAGCAGGUGAAAUGCGUAGGAUAUGCGGGAGGGAACACACCGAAUGGCAGAAGGGACAAUUCCCCUUGGGAACCUGUUCCUGGACGGCUUCAUGCACGAAAAAGCGUGGGGAGCACGGAUUUUAGAUACCUUGGUAGUUCACGCCCCUAAACGAUUCUCCACUGGUUGGUGGGCUCUUCCCGGAGUCAGUACGAGUACGCCUUGAAUUGACCGCCGGGACU
rnacentral:rRNA from 1 species